rnacentral:rRNA from 1 species
GAAUCCGCCAAGGAGUGUGUAACAACUCCCCUGCGAAUGAAUUAGCCCUGAAAAUGGAUGGCGCUGAAGCGGGUAGCCGACACCACGCCGUCUGGACAAAGUGGUUUUUUCAGAUGAGUAGGAGGGCGUGGCGGUUGUAUCGAAGCGUGGAUGCGAAUCUGCGUGGAACAGCCGCUAGUGCAGAUCUUGGUGGUAGUAGCAAAUAUUCAAGCGAGAUCCUUGAAGGGCGAAGCGGGGAAGGGUUCCACGCGAACAUUGAUUGGGCGUGGGUGAGUCGUUCCUAAGCCGCGUGGCAAUAGCUAAUUACCGGCGAAAGGGAAGCAGGUUGACAUUCCUGCACACGGAUGUGGAGACGGCGACGAUACAUGAGGCGAUCACGCUGGCGGUGGCGCUGGGCAGAGUUGUCUUUUCUGUUUGACCAACGAAUACUUGCUGUGUGGAAUCCGCUUGUCGGGAGAAACACGCAAGUACGGGCAGAGCGCCGGGGCUUUUCCGGCGUCCAGCUCGCCACCGACGGCCCUUGAAAAAUUGCCUGCUGGACAACAUUUCGGUGUUGUGAGAUCCACGCCGUGGCGUACCGAUAACCGCAUCAGGUCCCCAAGGUGAACAGCCUCUGCUCAGUAUGAACAAUGCAGGUAAGGGAAGUCGGCA